ACUCAUACCUUGCAGUGGAAAUACCAUGGUCAUGAAAGUGGUUUUUCUCGGGUAAGGUUCAUCCAUUGCAUUUCCGGUGUGCUGAUCCCUGUGAUUUCCCCAAAUGUGGGGAACUCAACUGCAUAAUUUGUGUUAAUUGGGGAUUACAUUUGUUAUUUCCCUGG
rnacentral:snRNA from 1 species